CAGAGAUUCAUCCUGCAGUGAAACCCAAUGUAAUCAGGUCAACACCAAGCCUUCAAAGUCCAAGUGCAAAACGACUGCUUGCACCCUCCAAUCACUCUUCAUUAAGUAUUUUGGGAAAAAGAAACUACAGCCAUCAUAAUGGUCUUGAUGAAUCAUGCAGCCAUACAGCAAGAACAAUAAUGCAUGCUGCUCCCCAUGUUCAUCUGACUAAUGGUAAGGCCUUGCAAGCCAGUGCAAGUGCCUUUAAGACAAGCACCAUUCCAGUGAUCAAGAGACAGAGGCAAAAUUGGCUUGAUACUUCAGAUGAUGGUUUCUUUAUAGCUACAGAAGAGACCAGAAAAAUCCGUAAGAAGUUCACCAGAUCACAGCUGAAAAGAGCUUCCAGAACACCUUGUUCUCCGAUCAUUACAAAGACAAAGUCUCUCAUGAACAGUAGGCAGGCACGAGCAGAGCCAGGAACCAUCAUGCACUGAAGAUAUAACAGCAUCAGC
rnacentral:lncRNA from 1 species